UAAGUUUCCUGUCAUUACUCACUUGGCAAUAUAUAAUUAAAUGAAUGAAUAAAAGCAUUUAGAUUCGGGUAAUCACACUUGAAAAGCCAUCACCAUCUAUUUCCUCAUGACACCAUUUGGUGACACGUCCUGCCCUAUAAUCCUCGCUGGACUCAGGAGACAUCUGGUCAACUUGAUCCGCAAUCCUCGCUUCCAUGGUCUGGAUAUCUCAAAGACUCGUG
rnacentral:lncRNA from 1 species